rnacentral:rRNA from 1 species
UACAGAGGAGCCAAGCGUUGUCCGGAUUGACUGGGCGUAAAGCGCACGCAGGCGGAUGCGCGCGUGGGGUGUGAAAUCUGGCCGCUUAACGGCCAGGCGCCAUCCCAUACGGCGCGUCUGGAGUGAUGCAGAGGUCGGUGGAAUUGCCGGUGUAGUGGUGAAAUGCGUAGAGAUCGGCGGAACACCCAGGGGGAAAACCAGCCGACUGGGCAUCUACUGACGCUGAGGUGCGAGAGCGUGGGGGAGCGAACCGG